rnacentral:rRNA from 1 species
UACCAGACUCCUACGGGAGGCAGCAGUGGGGAAUAUUGCACAAUGGGGGAAACCCUGAUGCAGCGACGCCGCGUGGGUGAAGAAGCGCCUCGGCGCGUAAAGCCCUGUCAGCAGGGAAGAAAAUGACGGUACCUGAAGAAGAAGCCCCGGCUAACUACGUGCCAGCAGCCGCGGUAAUACGUAGGGGGCAAGCGUUAUCCGGAUUUACUGGGUGUAAAGGGGGCGCAGACGGCGAGGCAAGCCAGGAGUGAAAGCCCGGGGCCCAACCCCGGGACUGCUCUGGGAAGUGCGUGGGUGGAGUGCAGGAGGGGGAGGCGGAAUUCCGGGUGUAGCGGUGAAAUGCGUAGAUAUCAGGAGGAACACCGGUGGCGAAGGCGGCCUGCUGGACCGUGACUGACGUUGGGGCUCGAGAGCGUGGGGAGCAAACAGGAUUAGAUACCCCGGUA